AAAAUAUAUAUAUUAAUAUGGCAUCAGUUGCCUAUCUUAGAAACUAUUUUUAUGGCUAGUCUGCAGUGAAUUUGAUGCCACAAAACCCUGUUUUUAGCACUUCUUACUUACCAGGAGCUUGUCUUCUGUGAAACAAAAUCUCUGUAAAACUGUGUCCAUUGAGAUAGAGAUACAAACUAAUAAAAGUCUUUUGAGGAUUGAGUUUUGUAAUACACGGUUUAGAAAAAUUUAUUUAUCCAAACUCCUGAAACUGGGUAACAGAUGUUUUUGUUUUCUUGCAGUUCUUUUAUCCAUUUGUUCACUGCUAUGUGAUCCAAACCCAGAUGACCCCCUAGUGCCAGAGAUUGCACGGAUCUAUAAAACAGACAGAGAUAAGUACAACAGAAUAUCUCGGGAAUGGACUCAGAAGUAUGCCAUGUGAUGCUACCUUAAAGUCAGAAUAACCUGCAUUAUAGCUGGAAUAAACUUUAAAUUACUGUUCCUUUUUUGAUUUUCUUAUCCGGCUGCUCCCCUAUCAGACCUCAUCUUUUUUAAUUUUAUUUUUUGUUUACCUCCCUCCAUUCAUUCACAUGCUCAUCUGAGAAGACUUAAGUUCUUCCAGCUUUGGACAAUAACUGCUUUUAGAAACUGUAAAGUAGUUACAAGAGAACAGUUGCCCAAGACUCAGAAUUUUUAAAAAAAAAUGGAGCAUGUGUAUUAUGUGGCCAAUGUCUUCACUCUAACUUGGUUAUGAGACUAAAACCAUUCCUCACUGCUCUAACAUGCUGAAGAAAUCAUCUGAGGGGGAGGGAGAUGGAUGCUCAGUUGUCACAUCAAAGGAUACAGCAUUAUUCUAGCAGCAUCCAUUCUUGUUUAAGCCUUCCACUGUUAGAGAUUUGAGGUUACAUGAUAUGCUUUAUGCUCAUAACUGAUGUGGCUGGAGAAUUGGUAUUGAAUUUAUAGCAUCAGCAGAACAGAAAAUGUGAUGUAUUUUAUGCAUGUCAAUAAAGGAAUGACCUGUUCUUGUUCUACAGAGAAUGGAAAUUGGAAGUCAAACACCCUUUGUAUUCCAAAAUAGGGUCUCAAACAUUUUGUAAUUUUCAUUUAAAUUGUUAGGAGGCUUGGAGCUAUUAGUUAAUCUAUCUUCCAAUACACUGUUUAAUAUAGCACUGAAUAAAUGAUGCAAGUUGUCAAUGGAUGAGUGAUCAACUAAUAGCUCUGCUAGUAAUUGAUUUAUUUUUCUUCAAUAAAGUUGCAUAAACCAAUGAGUUAGCUGCCUGGAUUAAUCAGUAUGGGAAACAAUCUUUUGUAAAUGCAAAGCUGUUUUUUGUAUAUACUGUUGGGAUUUGCUUCAUUGUUUGACAUCAAAUGAUGAUGUAAAGUUCGAAAGAGUGAAUAUUUUGCCAUGUUCAGUUAAAGUGCACAGUCUGUUACAGGUUGACACAUUGCUUAACCUGAUUUAUGCAGAAUUAAUAAGCUAUUUGGAUAGUGUAGCUUUAAUGUGCUGCACAUGAUACUGGCAGCCCUAGAGUUCAUAGAUGGACUUUUGGGACCCAGCAGUUUUGAAAUGUGUUUAUGGAGUUUAAGAAAUUUAUUUUCCAGGUGCAGCCCCUGUCUAACUGAAAUUUCUCUUCACCUUGUACACUUGACAGCUGAAAAAAAACAACAUGGGAGUAAUAAUGGGUCAGAAUUUGCAAAAUAAAGUACUGUUUUGGUGUGGGAGUUGUCAUGAGGCUGUGUUGAAGUGACUUAUCUAUGUGGGAUAUUGAGUAUCCAUUGAAAUGGAUUUGUUCAGCCAUUUACAUUAAUGAGCAUUUAAAUGCAACAGAUACCAUUUCAGGUGACUUAACAUGAAUGAAUAAAAGUCAAUGCUAUUGGAUUGUUUUUUGUUUGACAAGUGCUAUCUGUGCCACUGAUUUAACUUCUGUAGUAACAAGGGCAUUACCAUUCUUCACCUUUCCUAAUUCUGAUCCCAUAGUUUUACAUUUUUCCUGUUUAUUUUGAUUUUGUUCACUGCUUUAUUUCUUAAAGUUCUAGCACAUCUGUGACUCCUCCACUUCCACAUUUUUGCACUGCUUACACUUACGUGCAAUCUUAUUCCUUGUCUGCACACAGAUGUGGAAAGCUAGAAAUAAAUGUUAAAACUUACUUUUUAUAAACAUUUUAAUAUGUAGUUUGGACAUGAUUUAUUGACUUAAGGUUCUUCUCUAAACUGGAAGUGAAAUGCAGAAUUCCACCACAUGUUCUGGCUUUGUUAAUUCUGUAAUCAUUUCAUUGGGGAAAAAACCAGCUACGCAGUUUUUCCAAUGAGUGAAUUUUUUCAUUUUGUGUUUUGCUUAAAACGGCUCCUUCAGGGUAGAUGUCAUACUGCAUAACUUUUUUGGAUUCAAAUUAUGAAUGAGAAAUUAGUUAACAUUCUGCUCCACAAGGUAAGAAAAACUGCUCUUUGGCUCUAUUUUCAAAAUUACUUCUGAGAUGCAUAUAGUCUCAAAAUAACAGCUUUAGUAGGCAUAUCACUUCUUGAAAGCCAAACAUGAGUGUAAGACACUUUUAUGAAACACGGUGGAUCCCUAACUGGCUUUCAAAUUGACCUUUAUAGCCUUAGACAACCCUUAGGUAUUUACGGAGAUGACUUCUUUGAUUGUCAUAACAAUUAGUGAUGUGUCCAGUUCUCUGUAUCUUUGACUUGAUGCUUUAUACAUCAUUUCAUUUGUUGCUUCUAAGGGAAUAAGCCAUAGAGC
rnacentral:lncRNA from 1 species